rnacentral:tRNA from 1 species
GCCCGGGUGGCGAAAUGGCAGACGCAAGGGACUUAAAAUCCCUUGUCCGAAAGGACGUGCGGGUUCGAGCCCCGCCCCGGGUA